rnacentral:rRNA from 1 species
UACGUAGGGCGCAAGCGUUGUCCGGAAUUAUUGGGCGUAAAGAGCUCGUAGGCGGCUUGUCACGUCGGGUGUGAAAGCCCGGGGCUUAACCCCGGGGCUGCAUUCGAUACGGGCAGGCUAGAGUGUGGUAGGGGAGAUCGGAAUUCCUGGUGUAGCGGUGAAAUGCGCAGAUAUCAGGAGGAACACCGGUGGCGAAGGCGGUUCUCUGGGCAUUACCUGACGCUGAGGAGCGAAAGUGUGGGGAGCGAACAGG